GUGAAUUGCUACAAAAAAGCUUUCGUGCCAGGAACUACAGCUCCCUUGUUUGUGUUUGAUGUCUGUAUUAUGAGACAAAUAAUGUUUCCUCUUCCCAACCACAGGCCCUGGCUCAGAGAAGCUGGCAGAACUCUCCUGAAAGACAGCCAUGGGAUAGACUAGGGGGACAUGGGACAUGAGGGGGUUUCUGAUACCCGGGAUUGGUGAAGAUCCUCUCCACCCUGUUGUCCUGAGAGGCAGACCUGCUUACUUGCUGCUACCUUCCAGGAGAGCCAAGAAGCAUGCUCUGGCAUUAACUUCACUGAAAAUGACUCCCAUCUUACAAGAAUUAAAUAUCAUCCUGGAAAAGAAAACGUUCACUUAGAUAACGAAAAUGACUGCUGGAAGCAUCACAGCAAGUAAAUUCUGCCUUUUAUUUAACUAUUUCCUCUACACAACCGUGGGAAUUUUGAAAAAGAAGAAAAUCAGAAACAUGCACAAAAUGUAGAAACUGAAGAAGGAAAAUGAAAAGACAAAACAGGAUUGCUGCAUGGCAUCCAAAAAUACCCUGAAAUUUUGGAAGAAGCAAAUACUAUUUCCCAUUCUCCACAGGCACUGGUCUAUAAAAACAAUGCAAAACAUUACAUCUUGUUCUGGUGAUGACUUUGUAGGACUGACCCCCAUGCAGAAAGCCAAAGCAAUGUCACUGCCUCCGAUAAGACACAACAAGUCCUGUUUUGAAGGCAGCUUUUUGCAAAGGAUUAAAUUCUGCUUUUAAAUACAUGCAGGCAGAACUAUCUGAGGCAGACAUGACAGAGCCACCUCAGCAGCAAUGCUAUGGCUGAAGAUGCCUUCAGCCUCGGCUGCUAUUUUUAGGUGCUUAUCGCAGUUUGAUUUGAGACCCACUGUGAUGGGUGCAGUGCAAACCAUAC
ensembl:lncRNA